UGAUGGGAGAAGACAGCUCAGAGGCCAGGUCGACCUGGCUUAGGCUACCUCCAGACCCAAGGGAGAGGGGUGGGAAGCAGCAGCCUGAGAGCUACACCUGCUGUGAGCUGUGUGAUCUUAGAACCCUCGGGAGGUGGCAACUCACAUCUGCCCUCCCAGCUUCAUGGGUACCAUGGUAGGAAGGUUUUGCCAACUCCAAGCCAGAAAGCUUCAGUCUAAGGAUCUGGGAUUCUCUUUGGCUAGCCUUGGACUCUCCCUCUCUCCCCCCACAGACCCCACUUCUGCUGUUGACUGUGCCACCGAGGGUCAGGGCACCUUUCACGGGUCUUGUGCCCUCACGAGCCAGGAGGAUUCUGUUGUCAGAUCCAAUGAACAAAUGCCUUCCCUCAUGGACAUGCCGGACAAGUCGCAGCCCUUUACAGGGGGCUUUGGCACUUUGUCAGCGACCCCCACAUCUGGGCUGGGCCAAACAUACCUGUGUAGGUCUUCUGACAGGUGCCCACCCACCUGAGACCAGGUGACUCUUCUCUGGGAGGCAGCCAUGUGGCUCUCCGGCUGGAAGCCCAGUCCUACAGCAGCCCUCAUGCGGCGUGGAAGCCUAGGUGAGGGUGUCCCUGACCCUGCUGAGUUGGAAACCUGGCUCCACCACUUGCUGGCUGUGAGGCAUUGGGCAAGUUAACUGCCCUCGCUGAGCCUCAGUUUCUCCAUCUGUCAAAGCGGGGUGGAGAGAAGUCCUGCUCCCUGUGGUUGUUCACAAAGCAAACCACACAGUUCCUGCAGGGCUCCUGGCACAGACAGGCAGUCAUCAAGGGAAGCCACUUUCCUCAUUGUCAGCAGAGCUUAGAAGUUAAAAGAAGCUGGAGUUAGAAGAAGCCAGUCUCUUCCCUAGUCACGAGUUCUCCAUUCCAUCCACCCCUCAGCUCAUCCCCUUGGGUCCUUCAGACUUCCGCUUGAUGUCACCUCUUCACCUCCCACCCGGAGCAUCUUCUGUGCCCACACCUGAUCCAGCUGCUUCGUGACACUUAGCCCAAAGUACAAUUACGGACUCCAUUAGUUCAUUUAAGGAAAGCUCUCUGUCUCUUCUUCUAGACAGUGGACUUCCUGAGGGCGGGGACCUUGUCUCAAUUGUCCUCAUUGUUGUUUUCCCUCCGCUCUUCUCUUCUCGAUGCCUCUCCUGGUGCCUGGUACACUUGGGUACCAAAUCAUAAGUGGCCUCAGGGAGGAGCGAGUCUCUACUGAGUGCCUUCUAGGUGUCUGGCUCCGCACCAGCCGGGGUGGAAUUCAGUAGGGAACCAUAGGGACCCAGCUCCUGACCUGCAGAGCCAAUGACCAGAGCUCUCGGGAGGCUGCCGUGGUGGGGUGAAAAGGAAGGCUCUCUACCAACUGGGGGUCAGGUGGAAUUGCAGCAUUUCCAGGCUGACAACUCUCCCGACCCCUUCUGAGCCCUGAAUUCCUCGUCCAUCUGAGAGCUGCUCUGGUCUGGAUGAAGACUCCUCCACCCAGCUGGUGGAAGCCUGUCUUCUUUUUGUCCCCAUCAUUUUGUCCUGGAGCUAGAUCCUCAAGGACAUCCGUGCUUGGCUGGUGCCCUGUGCCUGGCAAGCCUGAGUGCAGCUUUCCAAGAAAGAGAACAAUUGGAUGAAUUAUUGCUAUUGACGCCAGUGUGUUGGUGUGCUAGGUCCUUCUGCCAGAGAGGGGGGGGGGGCCUCUUUGAAAACGAGACAGUCUUACCAAAGGCAAGGAUUUCUCAAUCUGGGCAAAAGAAAAUAAAAUUAAAAUAUUGCUGAGAAUCCUCAAAUGUACACUUUCUUAGAAUAAGUGACUCAAGUUUAGACUGGAAUUUGAAGAAGUAACUUCCCAUCUCCAGUGGGGAAUAACAUGCCCACCAAGUGGUCAUCCUCACUAUUGCCUGAGAACAGGCCCUUCACUGCCCCUGCAGGCUACGUAUUUAGGUCCCAGUGGCUCAGGGUGACACAACAUUCCCCUCUAGGCUCAACUCAACCUUGGCCUUUGUCUUCCUUUCCCACUUGGAGACACACAGAGGAUGGCUGGUUCUAUUGUUCUCAGAUAUUUGAAGACUGCUCUCAUGUCUUCUCCAGGCUGAUGGUCCCUGGUUCUCUCAAAUAUCCCUUGCACACAGUAGAAUAUGUCUUACCUUGUGCUAAAUUCCUGAAACAGCCACAUUUUUUAAUAGUUCAAGCAUUCUUUUAAAAAUUAUGUUGUUGCAAUAACUGAAGAAUAUUUUGAUAUGCUGCGUGUGUAGCAUGGCACCAUUCAGCAAGCAGAGAACAGCCACAUGUUGGUGUUAAAGUUCAAGACACGAACAGAUCGGUACAGGUCAUAACCGAUAAUCUCAGGGACAUUGGGGAGAUGUUGCCAGUGAUGCACAUUUUCAGUGGUUUCAUUGAAUGCUUGGGUAAUAAUUAAUAUUUUAAGUAUACAAUUGUAAUUGAGCAAAUAUUAAGCAUUUCUUUCAUACAGUGAGAGGGACAACCACAAAUGCAGUGAACAACCAGAAAUUGGAGCUGGAUCAAGUCUUUUUUCCCCCCUGUUCUUGCAACACUGUGUAGUGAAGAUGUCUAAACCCCACAAUUAUCAUUAAUUCCAAUCUCAUUUAUCGUAGGACAUAAUUCACGUUUCUUUAGCAGCAUGACCCUUCAUAGAAUGGCAGCUAUCCAACUGCUAAUUCCCCCUGAAAGACUGGACCCAGAACUGGACACAAUAAUUUUAGGACAGUGCAAACAUCACAGAAUAGAAUCAGAUUAUCACAUCCCCAUCCGGAAGCUAUGUUUUCCUUUAUACGUCCAAAGAAUCAUUUGCCCUUUUGACAGUAGUGCCCUAUUGGCUCCAUAAUAGGAGUUUAUCAAAUAAAAUUCCAGAUUUUGUAGGUAUUUUUGUGUCAUUUUAACUUUUUGUUUUAAACUAUAAUACAUGUGAAGAAUUGUCCAAAACAUAAAUCUAAAUAAAUUUCCAUGAGUCCAUACUAAUAUAAAUAAGUGGGGGGGAGGGGCGCAGAGAGAACUUUAUAAAAUUCCAACAUGACAAUCUUCUUCUCAGUCAGAUUGGCUUGUUUACAUUUAAUGCAAAUAUUGAUGUGUUUCAUUUAAAUCUGUCUGGCCUAAUUUCUAAGUCUCUGAUUCAUUUCCAUUUCAUUUCUAUGCAGCAUGAGAGAUAAGGGUCCAGUUUUCCCAGCACCAUUUGUUAAAAAGGCUGUCUUCUCUUCAACAUAUAUUUUUGGCACCUUUGUUAAGUAGCGGGUGGCUGUAGGCAUGUGGAUUUUUCUCUGUGUCUGGUAUUCUGUUCCACUGGUCUUCGGGUCUAUUUGGUGCCAAU
rnacentral:lncRNA from 1 species